AUUGAACGCUGGCGGCAGGCCUAACACAUGCAAGUCGAGCGAGCGGCGGACGGGUGAGUAAUGUAUGGGGACUGCCCGAUGGAGGGGGAUAACUACUGGAAAGAGUGGCUAAUACCGCAUACCAUUGGAUGGCGCAAAUGGGAUUAGCUGGUGGGGGGGGUAAUGGCUCACCUAGGCGACGAUCCCUAGCUGGUCUGAGAGGAUGACCAGCCACACUGGGACGGAGACACGGCCCAGACUCCUACGGAGGCAGCAGUGGGGAAUAUUGCACAAUGGGCGCAAGCCUGAUACAGCCAUGCCGCGUGUAUGAAGAAGGCCUUAGGGUUGUAAAGUACUUUCAGUCGGGAGGCGUUACCGACAGAAGAAGCACCGGCUAACUCCGUGCCAGCAGCCGCGGUAAUUC
rnacentral:rRNA from 1 species